AUGCUGAAAGGGGGCUUUGCUUGGCACUACAAAAUGUGCGACAAACGUCCUGAAUUUGCAAAAUGGCAGAGAGAGGCGAAAAAGGCACGCCGAGGGCUUUGGUCGUUAGAUAAACCUCAAAAACCAUGGAUUUGGAGGAGAGAUAAUCCACGCAUUGACAACAAGAAGGGGAAUGCAGAUGACAUUCAGGUAGAACCGCAGAACCAGGUCAAUGAGAGCAGUAUAGCUCUACCAUUGUUGAUAAUGAAAGAUAUGGAGGAUCUGGGUAGGAAAUGGAAAGGGAGUUUGGAAAAUUUUGUGUCUGAGAACAUGAAACUACACGAUCAGGUCCAGGAGUUAAAGAGAGAUAAGAAGGAGGCUGAGGAACGUGCUAGAAAGGCAGAAAAAGAAAUGGAAAGUGCUGUGGCUGACAACAUGAAGCUGAAUGCUCAGCUCCAGGAAUCUGAAAUUAAUAAAAGGGAGGCCGAGGACCGAGUUUUACAGUUAGAUUUCUUCUCAGGAAGUGUUGCAGCUGUAAACAUGGAUUUGCACAAUAAGAUUGAGGUUUUAGAGAAUGAGAAUAAAAAGGCCAAGGACAGAGCCAAGGAGGCAGAAAGUGAAAUGGAGAGUGUUGUGGCUGAGAACAGGAAACUGAACGAUCAGCUCCAGGUAGUAGAGGGCCAAGCAGUGAAGCUGAAAUAUUUUUGUGAAAAGGUUGCAGGUGUAAACAUAGUUUUGCACCGUAAGCUGGAGGGGUCAGAGGAGAAGAAUAAAAAGGCCGAGGAGCAAGCCAAGGAGAAAGAGAAGGAGAUGAAAACUAUUCUGGAUGACAAUGCGAAACUAAGUGAUCAGAUUCAAAAAUUAAAUAAGAUAAAUAAAGAGAUUACCGCCUUUGCUAAUAAUAGUAAAAGGAAAUUGCAAAGUGUUCUAGCCGCAAACAUGGAUUUGGAUAAAAGGGGGGUGGAGCGAGCUACUUUGCCAGAUAAGGGAUUGGAAAUUGUUGGAGUUGAAAACAUGAAGGAGAAAUUACAAGGCAUAAGUCACAAGAAGAGUGAACAAACUGUGGAGACCCCAUCGGCAACUCCAACCAAAGACUCUGGGGUGAAAAAACCCACUGUGUGGCGGAUAAAAAUGACCGCAACGACAUCUUCGGCGCCUCCACCAAAGGGUCAUUAUGAAUAG
rnacentral:rRNA from 1 species